rnacentral:rRNA from 1 species
GUCUUUUUGUUUAAAAUUUAAAGUCUAACCUGCCCAAUGAUUAUUUUAAUGGCUGCGGUAUUUUGACCGUACAAAGGUAGCAUAAUCAUUAGUUUUUUAAUUGAAAACUUGUAUGAAUGGUUGAACGAGAAAAUUACUGUCUCAAUUUAAAUUAAUUAGAAUUUUAUUUUUAAGUUAAAAAGCUUAAAUUUAACUAAAAGACGAGAAGACCCUAUAGAGUUUAAUAUUUAUUUAAAAUAAUUUUUAAGAAUUUUAUAAUUUAAAAUAAAUAUUUUAUUGGGGUGAUAAAUAAAUUUAAUUAACUUUAUUAAAUUUAAGUCAUUAAUUUAUGAAUUAUUGAUCCAAAUUUUUUUGAUUAAAAGAUUAAAUUACCUUAGGGAUAACAGCGUAAUUUUUUUUGAGAGUUCUUAUCGAAAAAAAAGAUUGCGACCUCGAUGUUGGAUUAAAAUUAAUUUUUGGUGUAGAAGCUAAACUAUUAAGUCUGUUCGACUUUUAAUUUUUUACAUGAUCUGAGUUUAAAUCGGCGUGAGCCAGAUUGGUUUCUAUCUUUAUUAAAUUAAAAUAUUUUAGUACGAAAGGACCAAAUAUUAAUAAAAUUUAUUUUAUUUAUGAAUAU